rnacentral:rRNA from 1 species
UACGUAGGGACCAAGCGUUGUUCGGAUUUACUGGGCGUAAAGGGCGCGUAGGCGGCGCGGUAAGUCACUUGUGAAAUCUCUGAGCUUAACUCAGAACGGCCAAGUGAUACUGCAGUGCUAGAGUGUGGAAGGGGCAAUCGGAAUUCUUGGUGUAGCGAUGAAAUGCGUAGAUAUCAAGAGGAACACCUGAGGUGAAGACGGGUUGCUGGGCCAACACUGACGCUGAUGCGCGAAAGCCAGGGGAGCAAACGGG